rnacentral:rRNA from 1 species
UACGUAGGUGGCAAGUGUUAUCCGGAUUUAUUGGGCGUAAAGGGAACGCAGGCGGUCUUUUAAGUCCGAUGUGAAAGCCUUCGGCUUAACCGGAGUAGUGCAUUGGAAACUGGGAGACUUGAGUGCAGAAGGGGAGAGUGGAACUCCAUGUGUAGCGGUGAAAUGCGUAGAUAUAUGGAAGAACACCAGUGGCGAAAGCGGCUCUCUGGUCUGUAACUGACGCUGAGGUUCGAAAGCGUGGGUAGCAAACAGG